AACGAACGCUGGCGGCAUGCCUAACACAUGCAAGUCGAACGAGACCUUCGGGUCUAGUGGCGCACGGGUGCGUAACGCGUGGGAACCUGCCCUUAGGUUCGGAAUAACUCCCCGAAAGGGGUGCUAAUACCGGAUAAUGUCUUCGGACCAAAGAUUUAUCGCCUUUGGAUGGGCCCGCGUUGGAUUAGCUAGUUGGCAGGGUAAAAGCCUACCAAGGCGACGAUCCAUAGCUGGUCUGAGAGGAUGAUCAGCCACACUGGGACUGAGACACGGCCCAGACUCCUACGGGAGGCAGCAGUGGGGAAUAUUGGACAAUGGGCGAAAGCCUGAUCCAGCAAUGCUGCGUGAGUGAUGAGGGCCUUAGGGUUGUAAAGCUCUUUUACCCGGGAUGAUAAUGACAGUACCGGGAGAAUAAGCUCCGGCUAACUCCGUG
rnacentral:rRNA from 1 species